CAACAAAUACAGGUAGGCCUGUACAGGCACUUAGUCUGAUCAACAAAUACAGGUAGGCCUGUACAGGCACUGAGUUUAAUCAACAAAUACAGGUAGGCCUGUACAGGCACUGAGUUUAAUCAACAAAUACAGGUAGGCCUGUACAAGCACUGAGUUUGAUCAACAAAUACAGGUAGGCCUGUACAAGCACUGAGUUUGAUCAACAAAUACAGGUAGGCCUGUACAGGCACUGAGUUUGAUCAACAAAUACAGGUAGGCCUGUACAAGCACUGAGUUUGAUCAACAAAUACAGGUAGGCGUGCACGAGCACUGAGUUUGAUCAACAAAUACAGGUUUACCUUUACAAGCACUGAGUUUGAUCAACAAAUACAGGUUUACCUUUACAAGCACUGAGUUUGAUCAACAAAUACAGAUAGGCCCGUACAAGCACUGAGUUUCAUCAACAAAUACACAUAAGCUUUUACAAGCAAGAUGCACUGAACUUUGUUUAUUAUGCCCCCCUUUGAAAAAGAGGGGGUAUUUUGUUUUGCUGGGUGUCGGUCGGUAGAUCAGUUGGUUUCCCAUCAAUAAAUCGUCAACAUGUUAUCUGAUUGGCUUGAUACUUCACAUGUGCAUUGGCCUCAGUCAGUAGAUGACCCCUAUUGAAAUUGGGGUCACUAUUUCAAAGGUCAAUGUCACGGUAAGUGUGAAAA